GUCUGACACACCUUGAUAACAUCCAAGCACGGUAGCUCCAACUCCAAUGACAUUUCGGUUCUCGAAGAUCUAAUAGGUAUAACCUAUGCUAUUCAAGUUACAACCGUGCCGAUUGGCCGGCCACGGUGAUAUCGCUGGAGUGGGGGAACGGAGGACCUAUCCAAGGAAGCCGAUCAUAGAUGAAGGGUGACGAAGUUGUCUGCGGCACGCGCCUGUGCUUCCAGUACAACGAAGCCUCGAGCGCUGCUAUCUGAGAUAUCAGAUGCUCGAUAUAGUUGCUCUCCAUGGUCCUUGAGUUUAUGCAUUUCUAUGAAUCAGCACACUCCCCUUCCCAGAGGCACUUCACGUCGCCGUCAUUUAUUAGCCACCGACGUUGCUUUUUCCUCGGCCCUGCGCCUCUUCGUUCACACCUCUUGUAGUCGACCAAAGAAGAGAGGCUUGGCUUGACAAGGGCUUAAUGGCCUCUGUGAUUACCUGGCGAUGAGCUUUACACUUUUAAUCACCGCACUAGGUAUUAACACUUUUGCGAUGGAAAUGAUCGGGUGCUAGGUCGUUCGACACCUCUUGAAUACUAUAAAAGGGCCAUAUCAAGUUCAUCGUAUGUUCCAUCGUCCUAUCCAGUAGCCAUGGUCGCUUGCACAUGCUAAUUAGAGCUCCCCAUUAGGCGAGCCCCAAGAUGUGCCUUAGUCCCUUGUUUGCCAAGGAUCUAUCUUGCCCCACCGACGACCUUGAACCUGGAAUACUCGUUCCGGCUCUUUCGCUAAAUAAAUCAUACAUUCGAGCAAGGAGGCGGUACAAUUACGGUUGGAUGGAAACUACCAGCGAUCUCGAUCAUGAGAAAUCUCUUUCUUGGCCAUGUCAUUCCAUCCUCCUUUAGGACAUUAGGUUAUAAAAUGAUCGAUAGCUUGUGGGUGAGGAGGUUUGUGGGCUACAUAAAAACUUACUGCUGAACGCGUGGUCUGCACAAAAAAGGUGGUAAGAAUUAGAACGAAAGCGAGUAUUUAGGAUUUCGGCAUGGGCAUGCACUAUCAGACGACAGGCUUCUUCUC
rnacentral:sRNA from 1 species